GGGGAAUAUUGGACAAUGGGCGCAAGCCUGAUCCAGCCAUGCCGCGUGGGUGAAGAAGGCCUUCGGGUUGUAAAGCCCUUUUGUUGGGAAAGAAAAGCAGCCGGUUAAUACCCGGUUGUUCUGACGGUACCCAAAGAAUAAGCACCGGCUAACUCCGUGCCAGCAGCCGCGGUAAUACGGAGGAUGCAAGCGUUAUCCGGAUUUAUUGGGUUUAAAGGGAGCGUAGGCGGACUAUUAAGUCAGCUGUGAAAGUUUACGGCUCAACCGUGAAAUUGCAGUUGAAACUGGUCGUCUUGAGUGCAGUAAAGGUGGGCGGAAUUCGUGGUGUAGCGGUGAAAUGCUUAGAUAUCACGAAGAACUCCAAUUGCGAAGGCAGCUCACUGGAGUGUAACUGACGCUGAUGCUCGAAAGUGUGGGUAUCAAACA
rnacentral:rRNA from 1 species